rnacentral:lncRNA from 1 species
GUGCUUAUAAAAAUACAGGACAAAACUGUAAAGCCACAUCGGGGAUCUCUCAGCAUGCUGACCUCUCUCCCCACCGUUGCUAUGGAAACGUGGAAAGAGGUGACGAGGGUGUUGGUGGGCAGAGCACCCGUCUCGGAGCUUCCUUCCAUUCAGAGGUCUGUGCUCCCCUUUCUGUAAAGCAAGCACCGUAUUCGAUGCAUACGGGAACCUGUGAGAACACGCACUACACACGGAUUUCUGUCCUCUAUGAAGUCAUCCGUUCAGUUGCAAGAAGGCUGUUGUCACAGAAAUCAGUAGAAGUCACUCGGAGGCAGUGGAUGGUACCAGGCCUGUGGCACCACAGUCUCAGGCCCUGGACGUCUUGCCCCAGGGUCUGUCCUCCCUUGCUCCACGCUCCUUGGCCUCGGCUCUCAGGGACCUCUUACUUGGCUGUCACUGUCACCAGCCUGCAUCGUUUUACUGAGGUAACAACAUCUUCUCUCUUGUCCUUUGCCUAUGGCAAACCAAAGCCAAAAACAGAAAAUACCUCCACAGCUGCUUUCUUUCCUGCUGCCUUUUGCAGUGCUUCCAAGUCUUGAAGGCAAAAGAACCUGCUGGAAUGAAGAGAUGAUACUCCUCCUUUCCUGCUAGAUGUAAUGUAUGAAAGCCAAUCUAAGAGUAUGAGUAGAAAAAGAA